UACGUAGGGUGCAAGCGUUAAUCGGAAUUACUGGGCGUAAAGCGUGCGCAGGCGGCUUUGCAAGACAGAUGUGAAAUCCCUGGGCUCAACCUGGGAACUGCAUUUGUGACUGCAAGGCUGGAGUACGGUAGAGGGGGAUGGAAUUCCGCGUGUAGCAGUGAAAUGCGUAGAUAUGCGGAGGAACACCGAUGGCGAAGGCAAUCCCCUGGACCUGUACUGACGCUCAUGCACGAAAGCGUGGGGAGCAAACAGG
rnacentral:rRNA from 1 species